GAUGAAGAACGCAGCGAAGUGCGAUAAGUAAUGUGAAUUGCAGAAUUCCGUGAAUCAUCGAAUCUUUGAACGCAAAUUGCACUUUCUGGUAUUCCGGAGAGUAUGCCUGUUUGAGGGUCAGUGUAAUAAAUAAAUCGUGGUUGUUACCACCUUUCGUGGUGACGCUUCGGAAUUGAGUCCUCUUACCCUUCGGGUUAAGUGACUUAAAAUUUUUUCAUACGAUUUCGAAACGUAUUUAAUGUAUUAUGUACGUUCACGAAUAUCGAAUGUUUAUUAGGUGCGGUCAUUUUUCAUGAAUUCGCGUCUAUAAUUUUUUUUUUUUUGACCUCAAAUCAGGUAAGAAUACCCGCUGAACUUAAGCAUAUCAAUAAGCGGAGGA
rnacentral:misc_RNA from 1 species